UACGGGGGGGGCAAGCGUUGUUCGGAAUUACUGGGCGUAAAGGGCGCGUAGGCGGCCCGCUAAGUCGAACGUGAAAUCCCCGAGCUCAACUCGGGAACUGCGUCCGAUACUGGCGGGCUUGAAUCCGGGAGAGGGAUGCGGAAUUCCAGGUGUAGCGGUGAAAUGCGUAGAUAUCUGGAGAAACACCGGUGGCGAAGGCGGCAUCCUGGACCGGCAUUGACGCUGAGGCGCGAAAGCUAGGGGAGCAAACGGG
rnacentral:rRNA from 1 species